rnacentral:rRNA from 1 species
UCGCUACUACCGAUUGAAUGGCUUAGUGAGGUUUUUGGACUGGGGCGACCCGGGAAAACUAUCAAACUUGGUCAUUUAGAGGAAGUAA